UAGCUCAGUCAGUGGAGCGUGACGCUAACAAUGCCAAGGUCGUGGGUUCAAUUCCCGU
rfam:Apaloderma vittatum contig16510, whole genome shotgun sequence.